AGUGAACGCUGGCGGUAGGCCUAACACAUGCAAGUCGAACGGCAGCACAGUAAGAGCUUGCUCUUACGGGUGGCGAGUGGCGGACGGGUGAGGAAUACAUCGGAAUCUACUUUUUCGUGGGGGAUAACGUAGGGAAACUUACGCUAAUACCGCAUACGACCUACGGGUGAAAGCAGGGGAUCUUCGGACCUUGCGCGAUUGAAUGAGCCGAUGUCGGAUUAGCUAGUUGGCGGGGUAAAGGCCCACCAAGGCGACGAUCCGUAGCUGGUCUGAGAGGAUGAUCGGCCACACUGGAACUGGAACACGGUCCAGGCUCCUACGGGAGGCAGCAGUGGGGAAUGUUGGGCAAUGGGCGCGAGCCUGAUCCAGCCAUACCGCGUGGGUGAAAGAGGCCUUCGGGUUGUAAAGCCCUUUUGUUGGGAGAGAAAAGCAGCAGGUUGAUACCCCGCUGUUCUGACGGUACCCAGAGAAUAAGCACCGGCUAACUUCGUG
rnacentral:rRNA from 1 species